rnacentral:rRNA from 1 species
GACGAACGCUGGCGGCGUGCUUAACACAUGCAAGUCGAACGAAAAGAGGGAAAGAGCUUGCCUCUUCCGGUAUCGAGUGGCAAACGGGUGAGAAACACGGAACCAACCUACCAUCAGGAUGGGACCAACAGACGGAAACGAUUGCAACUAACGAAAAAGUUCCAAGAAUGGCACGGCACAUGGAAAACAAGGUGGUCUCUACCAGUAAUCUAUCGCCUGAGGAGGGGUUCGCGUCUGAUGGGAUGGUUGGGGGGGGAAAGGCCCAACAACGCGACGGUCAGUAGCCGGUCUGCUAGGGUGUACGGCCACACUGGAACUGCGACCCGGUCCAGCCCCCUACGGGAGGCAGCAGUGGGGGAUCGUCCGCCAUGGGCGCAAGCCUGACGGAGCAACGCCGCGUGAGUGAUGACGGCCUUCGGGUUGUAAAACUCUGUGAUCCGGGACGAAAAGGCAGAGUGCGAAGAACAACCUGCAUUGACGGUACCGGAAAAGAAAGCCACGGCUAACUACGUG